AAAGCGUGCGCAGGCGGUUUUGUAAGUCUGUCGUGAAAGCCCCGGGCUCAACCUGGGAAUUGCGAUGGAGACUGCAAGGCUUGAAUCUGGCAGAGGGGGGUAGAAUUCCACGUGUAGCAGUGAAAUGCGUAGAGAUGUGGAGGAACACCGAUGGCGAAGGCAGCCCCCUGGGUCAAGAUUGACGCUCAUGCACGAAAGCGUGGGGAGCAAACAGGAUUAGAUACCCGAGU
rnacentral:rRNA from 1 species